rnacentral:rRNA from 1 species
UGGGGAAUAUUGGACAAUGGGCGCAAGCCUGAUCCAGCCAUGCCGCGUGAGUGAUGAAGGCCCUAGGGUUGUAAAGCUCUUUCACCGGUGAAGAUAAUGACGGUAACCGGAGAAGAAGCCCCGGCUAACUUCGUGCCAGCAGCCGCGGUAAUACGAAGGGGGCUAGCGUUGUUCGGAUUUACUGGGCGUAAAGCGCACGUAGGCGGACUAUUAAGUCAGGGGUGAAAUCCCGGGGCUCAACACCGGAACUGCCUUUGAUACUGGUAGUCUUGAGUUCGAGAGAGGUGAGUGGAAUUCCGAGUGUAGAGGUGAAAUUCGUAGAUAUUCGGAGGAACACCAGUGGCGAAGGCGGCUCACUGGCUCGAUACUGACGCUGAGGUGCGAAAGCGUGUGGAGCAAACAGG